rnacentral:RNase_P_RNA from 1 species
GCAGGCCGGGUGACCGCGGGCGUCUGACGCUCGAGGAAAGUCCGGACACCGCAGGGCAGGACGCUGGGGAAGACCCAGGCGGCGAAAGCCGACGGAAAGUGGCACAGAAAGGAAACCGCCAACCGGCGAACCUUCAUCUCCGGAGACGCCGAGGCAAGGGUGAAAAGGUGGGGUAAGAGCCCACCAGCGUCGUGGCGACACGGCGGCUAGCCAAACCCCGUCCGGUGCAAGGCAAACAGGUCCCGCUCGAGGCUGCCCGCCGAGGGACCGGGUUGCUGCCAAGAGGGAUGGUCACCCUCGACAGAAUCCGGCUUACAGGCCUGCUAAC